ACCAACUUUGAGCUUCUCAUAAGUUACAUAAGGAUGUCUUCUUUCGCCUGAAUUAUGCGAACCUCACAGGUGAGUUUUUCAUGAAUUCCUCGUCUUUUGCUUCGAAGUUUCUAGUUUCUUAUCUAUCAGUUGCUGAAUGGUUCCAGUUAGUACUAUUUUGCUUCCUAUUGUGCUUGGGAUACUUUCAAUUUUUAACUAGCUUUAACAAUUCUUUGUACCAUUCAAAAUUGUACCUUUUAGGUAGUAUUUGGCCGCUUCAUCUUGUGACCAUACUGUCAAGAUACAGAAUAUGGAUAGCUUUACCUCGUAGAAAACUCUUAUAGGUAGCAAACACUAAUUGCCAUUUAUCUUUUUUACUUCUCUUUCCCCCUUUUCCGAUCAGCUUCUUUCAAAUUCUUCAUCACAUGCAAUGUGUAUUAUCCAGGACAUGAACACUGGCUAUGGAACUUUGUAUUCUCUGUCGAUGGUGCUUUUCUCAUCACAGGUACAUACUGAAAUUGUUAUGAACUGUAAGAAUAUUUCUGAUAUUUCCUCCUGGCUAUAGUGUAACUUAAGAGUACUUAUUCUGUCUUGUGUCAUUUGGAUGGGGCCAGUGUCACGACCCAAUUUAGCUGUGUCGUGCGGGCAUCUACCUUUCCCACCUCGGUAAGCGAACCCUUAUCCCAACGAUCUCAAAUACAUGAAAUAAUAAGUAAAUAAGCGGAAGAGAUAGAAAUACGUAAGUCUGACAUAAUAAUAAAUAGGAUAUACAAAAUACAUCACAACCACCCCAGAAAUCUAUGUAUUCAUACAAGAGCAACUACUAGAAUCUACGAGUCUGGAAAUAUCAAUAAUACAUCAAUAGUCUGAAUAUGUCUCGGAAUAUCAAGUAAGACAUAAAAUAAAGGAAGAAUCUCCAAGGCAGCGGACGUCCCCGUGCUCACCCUGUAAGACUCUAGGGAAAAUGAGCUAAAAGAGACAUCUGAGAGUGGAAUGAAGGAUAACGGAUUUCAUUUUUAUUUUCUCAUUUCUUUUAUUUCAUAAGUUUGAUUAAGUUUAAAUGGGGCUGAAUUAGAAUAUUUAACAACUUAGGGUAAAAAAUUAAAAUAUCAAAAACUUGUAAUAAACCCAACCAAAUCCCUCCCCGUUUCCCCAUUUUUCAAACGUCUCCUCACUUCUCUUCUCUCUAUAUUCUUCUCUCCCCUUUUUCCUCUUUAACCCACUUUUUUCUACUAAUUUCUCCUUCAAGAACGCUUUCUCUGCAAAUUCGAGCUUUUUCAGGUACCCAUUUGUUUUUAUUCUUAUUUAUGUUGUUCUUAUGCUCAUUUGGGACAUGGGAUUUUUUUUUCCUAUGUUUGCCUGAUAAAAAUAUUUGAAGUUGAAAAUCGUGGUUGAGUCUAGAUAUCAGUUGUGAGCGCAGUGAGAAUUUGAAAGUAUCGUGCUACUAGGAAUAACCAAAAGGUUGUGAGAUCAUUCACUUAUUUGUUAUAGAAAUUUCAAAGAUAUAAAAUUUUUGGUGUAGUGUAAUGGGAGUAAUAGCAAAAUGUGGUAAAAUUUCUAUUUCAUUUUAUAUUGCAGUGUUUCCUUUUAUGGAACCAUUGUUGGGGUGUUGCUAAAAGAAAGGGUAUUUUUGCCUGUGGGUUUUAUUGUUAUUAACAAGGACAAGGACUGAUUCUUGGGUUGACUCACAAAGUGAUUUAUUGAGAUUCUGUUGGUUUUGUCGAAUAGUGAGAUUCUUGAAUUAUUGCUAUGAAAUAAUGAAUUGUUGUAUCUAGUAAUCUAACGCUUAUAUUUCUAUACUCUUAAUCUGAGCCAAAUAGAAGGAAAAAAAAAAAGAUUGGGUUCACCUUUGAAGAUAAUUUUUGGGUCAUAUGAAACAGUCUUUUAGGAUGUAUUUUGAAUGGCACAAUUGUUACAAUGCAGUUAUGUGACCAAAUUCUUUUCUUUUUCAAUUUUGAAGAAGCUUAUAUGAAACCGUCUUUUAGGAUGUACUUUGAAUGGCACAAUUGUUACAAUGCAGUUAUGUGAUCAAAUUCUUUUCUUUUUCAAACUGGUGUUAUAUAUUGCUCUCUGUUUGCAAGAAAUAUUUUAUUUUGUGGCUGCUAUUGUUUCAGAAUUUCUCCUAUGUUUAAUAUAAUAUGAUUCCAUGUUGAACAAGAAAUUGAAUGUCGCAACCUUGUGGAAGUUUGAUCUCAGUAAAUCCACCUUCUCAGCGAGCCUACGUACUCAGUGAGCCCAACUACUAGGAUAAGAAAACUUGGUGUAUACUUGCUCCAUAUGUACCUGAUAUUCUGUCACUUUAAUGAGGCCGAAUUCCUGAAUCCAGAUUGACUAGUAUUCUAGUACAAGCUUUUGGUCAUUGCUACACUCAUGCAGUUCAACAUUUCAAAAGUAGGUCUUGAUAACAUCAUUUACCAAACGGUCGAGGAUUAUUUGACAUUUGUAAUUUUAUUUGUUUGCACAUGCUCCAGUAUCACACCCGUAGAAUAAAGUUCAUAAAAUACUAUACUAUCCUUGACAAUUUGGGGGGAAAAACUUCUUAUCUAGCUAAGUUUGGCUGCUUUAUAUUCUUUACCUAGGGAUUAUAUUCCUCCUGUGAUGUAACACAUCAAUUAGCCAUAAACUAGUACAUCUGUCUUUAAUAAAGAGUGGAUAAAGAUUGACUUUAGUUUAAAAAAAAAAAAAGGGUUUGAAAAGAUAAUUCUUAUCUGAUGAACAUAGAUGUAGAAGCAUAUUGUAGAUAUGUUGAACAUAUUUCAAUUGUAUGUUAGUUCAAUAGCAUCUAUGGUUAUUUAUAUAUGAAAUCUGAACCUACACAGGUUCUAUGUGUAAACAAUCACAUAUUGUUUAAACAACUUGGGUUUAUUUUAUAACUUCGAGAAGUUUAUUCAUUUGUUCUAUUGUUGACAAUCUUACGAUGCUUUAUGUAUGUAGAUAAAAUGGCAAAUAAAAAUCAAAGAGUUUAUAAAAGAAGGCCUAGAAAAAAGGUUAGGCCAACGGAAGAGGAGUCUGCUCUGGCUAGAGAAGCAGAUAUGUUUCCACAAGCUCAGGUAAUAGAAUAAAUGACCUCAUCAGCUCAUGGUUCAGUUAGAGAAGAAGAAAGCGCAGAAGAUGAGGAAUCGAUAGAUCAGGAAGAAGACAAUGAAAGUGGAAAAGAAAAUGCAGAAUAUGAGAAAUCAACGGAUCAGGAAGAAGAAAAUGAAGGUGGAAAAGAAAAUGCAGAAGAUGAGGAAUCAACGGAUUAGCAAGAAGAAAAUGAAAGUGGAGAAGAAAGUAAAGAAGAAACAAAUCAUGAUGUACUUUUCAAACAAAGAAAAAAAGUAUUACAUGAUGAGAGUAUUGCCCCUUCAAGAUCAAAUGCUUGGGCCUUUGAAGCUAUUUUGAAACUUCAAUGAAAUGCUAAGAAUGUCCCCCCCUGAGAGGACAUUGCCACGUAUGAUCAGGUGGAUGUCGUAUGGAGCCCUAAAAAAAAUCUACAGAUCCAUUCAGUACAACUGAUGAAAAGGUAGUGCACCCUUUCCUGAUUCCUACAAAUGUAGAAAAGAGUGAAAAAUACAUGAAGGACCUUGAGCUAUUUUCCAGUGAGAAAGCCGAUAGAAAAUUUGAUAUGUUAAAAGCAGAAUUGGUUGGGGUGACAACCAUCACAACAGGUGAAGUAGGAGCUAGAGAGGUUGGUGGUGAGGACAGGAUCCCAGUAAGGAGCGGGGCUAAGGAAAGGAGAUCACCAAGGGGCGGGGGUGCGGAAAGAAGCUCUCCAAGAGGCGCGGGUGACGAAAGGAACCAGUGGAGCCCUUUAAUAAAUUAUGGUGACAGAAUUGCUGGUAGUAUUUUGGUGGUCAGUAUAGUGAAGGAGGUGUUGGUAGAGGAUCUUUUGGUGAUUUUCUUUCAAAUGUGAAGUGCUCUUAUGAAUAUCUUACCUAUGCGGAGAAACAAAGACAAUUGAAACUAAAAUUUCUAAAAUGGAGAAGGAGUUGUUUGAACAACUUCUUGUUGUUUAUUAUAAGUAAUCAAGAGUUGCUUGAACAACUUCUUGUUGUUUAUUAUAAGCAACCAGUGGUUGUUUAAGCAACCACUAGUUGUUUACCUACUUUUUACGAGAUAUGAUGUUAUUGUAUAAGCAAUCAGGAGUUGCUUGAACAACUUCUUGUUGUUUAUUAUAAGCAACCACUAGUUGUUUA